ACGGUCCUGGCUGCUCUGGACUCCCCCAGGUUGUGAAGGCAGAGAAUAGGGCGGCCCGAUGGUGGAGAGAGCGGCCAUUGUGGAGAAGCUACCAAGUGGUCCGGAGCAGGAGGAGGAAGGCGAGGAAAGCCUGCGGUUAGACCUCGUGGUACCGGACCCGGGAUGAGGAGUCCCUGGAAGGAGCAGUUCACGGGUAGCUCGGAGUGGCUGGCAGGGACCUGGUGAUUCGAGUAACUGAGUAACUUCGAAAACUCCAGCCUCCUCCACAGCUCCGUCUCCUCCCUGCUCUGCCAGUCGGCUUUCUACAGUGGUGACUACCCUGAGGUUCUCCGUGCCUGAGUCCUUCAAGCCUCCUGUGGAGUAGGGGGCUGGGGCUCGGCAGCGCUCUGGCCCUCACCCACUGUACCCUUCCCUAGGGCAAAAAACGCACAAUAGUUGCUUUGCCGGGGCAGGGAGGGUGGUGCUGG
rnacentral:lncRNA from 1 species